CAUUAGCUCUGUUCCAGGACGUUAAUUUCCGUAGCUCGCAAUGUAAAACGCCAUUGACCAAAUCCUCACUGUCUGUACUGUAGUGACCACCCUUAAUUUAGUUAAGUUACUCAUUGAAGGAAAGACUGUUACAGCUAUGAUCUCCAUUCGCAAAGUUUUAACACAAAAAUUCAUUAACCCUUGCUCACACACGCCAGAUUUCUUCCAGUUGGAACCGACAAAGUCCGUAUGGGUGCUUGAAAUCCUUGAAAAUGCUUGAAUUUUAAUGUGGAAUUGUCAGGGAUUGAAAAGUGCUUAAUUGCUCAUAGUAAAUAGCGGGGCCUGUGACACAUUUUGAAAUUUGAGGCUUUGUUUUAAUUUUCUCCCUUCUGUAGAAUGCUCUCAUUAAACAUGAUUUUUGUUGUUCAAUAGCGCAGUAACAUCUGAUUUAACGGGAUGAAGUGACAUCAUUUUGAGCAGCUGUAAUUAGCCAUAAGGUGCUGGAAAAGCUUGAAAUGCACCUUUAAAUGCUUGAAAACUGCUUGAAUUUGAUUUAAGAAAAGGCGUAGGAGCCCUGAACAGAGCAAACACAUUUUUCCCUGUUGUUUGUUGUUUGUUGUUGUUUCCCUUGUUUUGUCCAAGUACUAUUGUCUUACUUUUGCUCUGUUUUUAAGGAAAAGCAUCCUGAAAUAUUGUCUAGUAUUUGCUCCACAAAGACUGCCAUUGUUAGCAUUGUCUGUCAUGAUUCAGAAAAAGUCUUUACUUCAGUGAGUAACGUAAUUAUAUUAAAGGAAGUCACUAAAGUACAGACAGUUACAAUUUGACACUUUGCAUUUUUUUUUUUACAUUUUACAUUUUACAUUUUACAUUUUACAUUUUACAUCCCUGGUAGGGCGUUAGUGGGGCUAGGCUAACAACAGGGAAAGGUUAUUAUAAUCAAUUAAAACGAAACGAAAAACUUGAACUAGGUAUGAAAAAAAAAUAACGUAACUUAAUUUUAAUUAAAAAUUAAAAUUACGUAAUUAAUUUUAAUUAAAAUACAAAUACAAAUACACAGAGAAUGUCUUUAGUUUAAGUCUUGGUCAAUUUGGCCAAAUAUCACCAUAACCAGCAUGAGUUUUGGUUUGCUGCUGAUGUUUACUGAGACUGGGAUGUCGACAUGACAGUCAGCUGCCUUCACAAAGUGUUGCAUUUGGAUUAGAAAACCUUUUCUGAACUUCUUAAAUCUAGACCCUAACAAAUACCCCAAAUAUUAUAAAAAAACUAAAACUAAUACUGAAACUAAUAAAAAAAAAAAAUAACAUUUUUAAACAAUAAAAACUAAACUGAAACAAGCAAACCCCUCUGGAAACUACCUGAACUUAAACUAAAUUGAAAGCAAAAAUUAAAAGCGAAAUAAA